UCCGGCCGUCGGGAGGAGGCUGUGGGCUGGAUGGGGGAGAUCUCUGGUAGGAAUUCAGUCCCCGGGAGGAGGUGUCCCUUACCGGGACUCGCCAGCCUGCGUUCCCGCGCGGUGCUCCGCGGGUGCAUAUGAAGUGUAUAUAAACAUCUGUGAUGCAGGUUCAAUGUCUUCAUCUCCGCCCAUGUUUGUAGAAAGGCAUGAGAACACCUACAAACAUCGUGGGACGGACAGGGCUGCUGCAUUAUUUAUUUAUCUUCCCGAAGUCGAUUUUGAUCACAUAGGCAGCUGCAAGCUGGUGCUGCUAUCGUCUUUCCCUCAGCUCCACAGCACCUGCCUCCUUUGGGAAACGAUGAAAAGGUGCAGUCUUCAUGGUGCACAUCACAGCGGAACCACCUGCUGUGACUGGCAGCAAUCGCUAGUCUAGCUGUGCACCACAAGACCAGGCUGAAUGAACCUCUGUGUUUCUAAAGGAAAAACAAACUCAUUUUGAAAAUUGUUCAGUAAUUUUAUUAUUUUAU